CGGCAGCUGCAUGUACAAGGGCUGCGCUAGUUUCAGUGCUUUCAGUUCUUGUAGCUCCUUCUGCAGUCUUCUAUUUUCAUCUGUUAGUGAUUCGCAGCACUUCUUCAAGAAUUCGCAGUCUACUUCAGUUUGCUUCAGCUUUGUCCUGUAAAUCAAUAAGGGCUACAUCAAAUUAUGGAAAACCAGACAACCUAAAGUAUUUGAGAUUUUGGAAGGGUCCAAAGUGGUAUGUAUCAUUGGCCUUUUCUUUUGGUAGAAGUACUUUUUCAGGGGUUUUUUUCUCUUGUUUUGUUUUUG
rnacentral:lncRNA from 1 species